rnacentral:rRNA from 1 species
AGCGAACGCUGGCGGCAGGCUUAACACAUGCAAGUCGAGCGGGCACCUUCGGGUGUCAGCGGCAGACGGGUGGGUAACACGUGGGAACGUACCCUUCGGUUCGGAAUAACGCUGGGAAACUAGCGCUAAUACCGGAUACGCCCUUAUGGGGAAAGGUUUACUGCCGAAGGAUCGGCCCGCGUCUGAUUAGCUAGUUGGUGGGGUAACGGCCUACCAAGGCGACGAUCAGUAGCUGGUCUGAGAGGAUGAUCAGCCACACUGGGACUGAGACACGGCCCAGACUCCUACGGGAGGCAGCAGUGGGGAAUAUUGGACAAUGGGCGCAAGCCUGAUCCAGCCAUGCCGCGUGAGUGAUGAAGGCCUUAGGGUUGUAAAGCUCUUUUGUCCGGGACGAUAAUGACGGUACCGGAAGAAUAAGCCCCGGCUAACUUCGUG